AAAAAGAUAAACCUGGUUUUCGUGUCCAAUGAUUGACCGUCCGUUUUAUUUAAAAAAAUUAUAAAAAAAUUAAAAACAUAAGUCACGCAUAAAGUAUUAAUCAUGUUUUAUCAUCUAACAACAAUGAAAAUACUAAUUAUAAAAAAAUUUAUAUAAAACGGACAGUGAAACGUUUGGCACGGAAACCUAGGGUUUGUCUUUUU
rfam:Oryza barthii chromosome 2, whole genome shotgun sequence.